ACGGGGAAUUUUCCGCAAUGGGCGAAAGCCUGACGGAGCAAUACCGCGUGAGGGAGGAAGGCUCUUGGGUUGUAAACCUCUUUUCUCAGGGAAGAACACAAUGACGGUACCUGAGGAAUCAGCAUCGGCUAACUCCGUGCCAGCAGCCGCGGUAAUACGGAGGAUGCAAGCGUUAUCCGGAAUGAUUGGGCGUAAAGCGUCCGCAGGUGGCUGUGUAAGUCUGCUGUCAAAGAGCGAAGCUCAACUUCGUAAAGGCAGUGGAAACUACAUGGCUAGAGUGCGUUCGGGGCAGAGGGAAUUCCUGGUGUAGCGGUGAAAUGCGUAGAGAUCAGGAAGAACACCGGUGGCGAAGGCGCUCUGCUAGGCCGCAACUGACACUUAUGGAUCGAAUUUAGA
rnacentral:rRNA from 1 species